CCUACGGGUGGCAGCAGUCGGGAAUAUUGCGCAAUGGAGGAAACUCUGACGCAGUGACGCCGCGUAUAGGAAGAAGGUUUUCGGAUUGUAAACUAGUGUCGUUACGGAAGAUAACAGACUGUACCUAAUGAGGAAGCACCGGCUAACUAUGUGCCAGCAGCCGCGGUACUACAUAGGGGGCAAGCGUUAUCCGGAAUUAUUGGGUGUAAAGGGUGCGUAGACGGAAGAACAAGUUGGUUGUGAAAUCCCGCGGCUCAACUGAGGAACUGCAACCAAAACUAUUCUCCUAGAGAGUAGGAGAGGAAAGUGGAAUGCAUAGUGUAGCGGUGAAAUGCGUAGAGAUUA
rnacentral:rRNA from 1 species